rnacentral:rRNA from 1 species
UACAGAGGGUGCGAGCGUUGUCCGGAAUCACUGGGCGUAAAGGGCGCGUAGGUGGUGGCUUAAGCGUGCGGUGAAAGCUCGGGGCUCAACUCCGAGUCGGCCGUGCGAACUGGGCUCACUGGAGCAUAGUAGAGGCAGGUGGAAUUUCGGGUGUAGCGGUGGAAUGCGUAGAGAUCCGGAAGAACACCGGUGGCGAAGGCGGCCUGCUGGGCUAUGGCUGACACUGAGGCGCGACAGCGUGGGGAGCAAACAGG